GUGCCCCCAGCCGCGGUAAUACGGAGGGUGCAAACGUUAUCCGGAUUUAUUGGGUUUAAAGGGUCCGUAGGCGUAUGCGUAAGUCAGUGGUGAAAUCUCACAGCUCAACUGUGAAACUGCCAUUGAUACUGCGUGUCUUGAGUGAGGUUGAAGUAGCUGGAAUAAGUAGUGUAGCGGUGAAAUGCAUAGAUACUACUUAGAACACCAAUUGCGAAGGCAGGUUGCUAAGUCUCAACUGACGCUGAUGGACGAAAGCGUGGGGAGCGAACAGGAUUAGAUACCCUGGUAGUCCACGCUGUAAACGAUGCUAACUCGUUUUUGGGGAUUUAUCUUCAGAGACUAAGCGAAAGUGAUAAGUUAGCCACCUGGGGAGUACGAACGCAAGUUUGAAACUCAAAGGAACUGACGGGGGCCCGCACAAGCGGUGGAUUAUGUGGUUUAAUUCGAUGAUACGCGAGGAACCUUACCAAGGCUUAAAUGGGAAUUGAUCGGCUUAGAAAAUAGACCUUCCUUCGGGCAAAUUUUCAAGGUGCCUGCAUGGUUUGUCGUCAGCUCGUGCCCGUGAGGUGUUAGGUUAAGGUCCUGCUACGAGCGCAACCCCUGUCACUAGUUGCCAUCAUUCAGUUGGGGACUCUAGUGAGACUGCCUACGCAAGUAGAGAGGAAGGUGGGGAUGACGUCAAAUCAUCACGGCCCUUACGCCUUGGGCCACACACGUAAUACAAUGGCCGGUACAGAGGGCAGCUACACAGCGAUGUGAUGCAAAUCUCGAAAGCCGGUCUCAGUUCGGAUUGGAGUCUGCAACUCGACUCUAUGAAGCUGGAAUCGCUAGUAAUCGCGCAUCAGCCAUGGCGCGGUGAAUACGUUCCCGGGCCUUGUACACACCGCCCGUCAAGCCAUGGAAGUCUGGGGUACCUGAAGUCGGUGACCGUAAAAGGAGCUGCCUAGGGUAAAACAGGUAACUAGGGCUAAGUCGUAACAAGGUAACC
rnacentral:rRNA from 1 species